AUUGAACGCUGGCGGCAGGCCUAACACAUGCAAGUCGAACGGUAACAGGAAGAAGCUUGCUUCUUUGCUGACGAGUGGCGGACGGGUGAGUAAUGUCUGGGAAACUGCCUGAUGGAGGGGGAUAACUACUGGAAACGGUAGCUAAUACCGCAUAACGUCGCAAGACCAAAGAGGGGGACUUUCGGGCCUCUUGCCAUCGGAUGUGCCCAGAUGGGAUUAGCUAGUAGGUGGGGUAACGGCUCACCUAGUCGACGAUCCCUAGCUGGUCUGAGAGGAUGACCAGCCACACUGGAACUGAGACACGGUCCAGACUCCUACGGGAGGCAGCAGUGGGGAAUAUUGCACAAUGGGCGCAAGCCUGAUGCAGCCAUGCCGCGUGUAUGAAGAAGGCCUUCGGGUUGUAAAGUACUUUCAGCGGGGAGGAAGGGAGUAAAGUUAAUACCUUUGCUCAUUGACGUUACCCGCAGAAGAAGGACCGGCUAACUCCGUG
rnacentral:rRNA from 1 species